GCCCGCAUAGAUCAAUUAGCUACAUCGCCUUGCGCAAAAUUUCGGGAAAGAAUUGCCAAAGCUUAUGCAGGAGACGGAGGCUCGAAUCCUCCUGUGGGCA